UACGAAGGUGGCAAGCGUUACUCGGAAUUACUAGGCGUAAAGGGCAGGUAGGCGGUCUCGUUAGUCUGUUGUGAAAGCUCCUUGCUUAACGGGGAGAGGCCAACAGAUACUGCGAGGCUUGAGUAUAGGAGAGGGUACUGGAAUUCCCGGUGUAGCGGUGAAAUGCGCAGAGAUCGGGAGGAACACCAAUGGCGAAAGCAGGUACCUGGACUAUUACUGACGCUCAGCUGCGAAAGCUAGGGGAGCAAACAGG
rnacentral:rRNA from 1 species